rnacentral:ncRNA from 1 species
GUAAAAACGCAGAUGAGGAGUAGUAGAAGGAAAAGAUGCUUUUCAGAGAGCUGCCGGUUGGUGUGAGGCAGCAGCACAGACUUUGAACUGACCUCGGAGUUCUUUCGGUGAAAAGAUAUUAUAUUGAUUAGCCGGAGGCGGGAGUUCCCGUUAUAGAAUGAAUGAGUGCAUUUGACUUUGUGUCAGAUGAAUAAGAGUGGUACCACGGAAUUAAAGCCUUUUCGUCUCUUGA